CUACGGGAGGCAGCAGCAAGGAAUUUUCGGCAAUGGGCGCAAGCCUGAUCCAGCCAUGCCGCGUGCAGGAUGAAGGACCUUUGGUUCGUAAACUGCUUUUAUACGGGACAAAACCCCCGGUCGUGCAUCGGGGUUGAUGGUACUGUAAGAAUAAGGGUCGGCUAACUUCGUGCCAGCAGCCGCGGUAAUACGAAGGACCCAAGCGUUAUCCGGAUUUAUUGGGUUUAAAGGGUGCGUAGGCGGAUUAGUAAGUCAGUGGUGAAAGCCUGCAGCUUAACUGCAGAACUGCCAUUGAAACUGCUUUUCUUGAGUGCAUUUGAAGUGAGCGGAAUGUGUCAUGUAGCGGUGAAAUGCUUAGAUAUGACACAGAACACCAAUUGCGAAGGCAGUUCACUAUGCUUGUAUUGACACUGAGGCACGAAAGCGUGGGGAUCAAACAGGAUUAGAAACCCCUGUAGUCC
rnacentral:rRNA from 1 species